UAUCAGCUUAACAUUUGUAAAGGUAAGUUCGACAUUUCUCAUUUUUUAUCGGUCACUAUUGAGAAACUAAACUAGAAAAAGUUGUUAAAUGGGUUAUUCCAAGAUGUAGUUCGACCGUGUUGGUGAAAGAACUGAAUUUGUUGUUCGUUAGUGCUAACAUCAUUAUGCUAGUGAGUUAGAUUAGCUAUUAUGUUAAUAUUCGUUUUUAGACUUGAAGUUGGAAAGGUUGCUAUUGAUUCACGGUUAAAUUGUUAUCGAUACGUGGAUGGUUAGUCUAGUGUUGGUUGGUUGGUUACCAUUAGCAGGUAGCAGCUACAUCCAUUUUGAAGAUUGGAGCACCAGAACUAACUGCUAACCGUUAGCUUAUUAGCUUGCAGAGCUCCAGCCCUUGCCGUGACCCAGCUUUAGCUGCUAGCUGCUACCGAAGGAAGCUCUCGACACCUGGGACCGUUGAUCCGCUGAGCUCGGUAGCGAGAGAGCUAUGAAUAUUACCGACACACGUAAAAGAAUGAUCUGCAUAUGCGUUGGCGAAUCUGGUCGUAGAUGUCCUGGCUCUCAACAAAGGCACCAGGCAGGAUUGGGGUUUUUUUGCAUUCCCAUAAGCCUGACUUCCUGAUGUCCACUACACUCUGUUCUCAACCUUCUCCAGUCUUUUGCACACUGUGAUGUUCAGAUGUCCUAUAAGCCUGACUUCCUGAUGUCCACUACACUCCGUUCUCAACCUUCUCCGGUAUUCUGC